AGCAGCCGCGGUAAUUCCAGCUCCAAUAGCGUAUAUUAAAGUUGUUGCAGUUAAAAAGCUCGUAGUUGAAUUUCGGGAUCAGUAGGUCGGUCGUGCCACUGGUAUGAACUGGUCUCACUGGUUCCUCCCUCUUGACGAACUGCAACGCUAUUAAUUUAGUGUAGUAGGAAAUCAGGACUGUUACUUUGAAAAAAUUAGAGUGUUUAAAGCAGGCUUUAGCUUGAAUACAUUAGCAUGGAAUAAUGAAAUAGGACGUUCGAUCCUAUUUUGUUGGCUUCUAGGAUUGACGUAAUGAUUAAUAGGGGCAGUUGGGGGCAUUAGUAUUCAAUUGUCAGAGGUGAAAUUCUUGGAUUUAUUGAAGACUAACUACUGCGAAAGCAUUUGCCAAGGAUGUUUUCAUUAAUCAAGAACGAAAGUUAGGGGAUCGAAGACGAUCAGAUACCGUCGUAGUCUUAACCAUAAACUAUGCCGACUAGGGAUCGGAUGAUGUUAAUUUUUAAUGACUCAUUC
rnacentral:rRNA from 1 species